rnacentral:rRNA from 1 species
UACGAAGGGUGCAAGCGUUACUCGGAAUUACUGGGCGUAAAGGGCGCGUAGGCGGCCUGCUAAGUCGAACGUGAAAUCCCCGAGCUCAACUCGGGAACUGCGUCCGAUACUGACAGGCUUGAAUCCGGGAGAGGGAUGCGGAAUUCCAGGUGUAGCGGUGAAAUGCGUAGAUAUCUGGAGGAACACCGGUGGCGAAGGCGGCAUCCUGGACCGGCAUUGACGCUGAGGCGCGAAAGCUAGGGGAGCAAACGGG